UCAGAUGAUCGGAUAAUCGCUGAAAGGUAACUUUUGGAGGAAAGUCCGGGCUUCACGGAAACACGAUACCGGAUAACGUCCGGCUGGGGUGACCCACGGGAUAGCGCCAUAGAAAACAAACCGCCGAUAUUUAAUCGGUAAGGGUGAAACGGCGGGGUAAGAGCCCACCGCACUGUAAGUAAUUAGAGUGGCACGGCAAGCCCUAUCGGAAGCAAGACCAAGAAAAGAGAGCCAAAGAGGAAUCUUUGUUAAAAAGAGCGUUUCUGAUCUGCUCUCAAGAGGUAGGUCGCUAGAGGUGGGCAGUAAUGCUCAUCCAAGACGAAUGAUUAUCUAUUACAAAACCCGGCUUAUAGAUUAUCUGACAUU
rnacentral:RNase_P_RNA from 1 species